CGCGAAUGGAACUAAUUUCGGUGUGGCGGUUGCCGGUCGGUCCCCCAGCGGCACUUAGCCGCGAUUCUAUGGAACUGUUUGUGGCAUGGGACCAUGCGUGCGGUCGACCAAAAUUAUGACUACCAGGAAAUUCCUGAACCGAUCUGGGUGACUUUUGGAUAUGUUGUUCACCAAGACCAGGGCUAUCAGGGGAUGUAACUUUUGUGGGGAGUUUGUAUGUUUUAAAAGUAUUUUGGGGGUUUUAUAAAAAUUUGUGUUUUUUGUCUCUGGAGAUAAUUGAGUUAGUACAGUUCUUGACUAAAUUAUCUCCCAGGUACAGAGGAGGGAUUGACCUAGUUUGUUUGGG